rnacentral:rRNA from 1 species
AGUGAACGCUGGCGGUAGGCCUAACACAUGCAAGUCGAACGGCAGCACAGUAAGAGCUUGCUCUUACGGGUGGCGAGUGGCGGACGGGUGAGGAAUACAUCGGAAUCUACUUUUUCGUGGGGGAUAACGUAGGGAAACUUACGCUAAUACCGCAUACGACCUACGGGUGAAAGCAGGGGAUCUUCGGACCUUGCGCGAUUGAAUGAGCCGAUGUCGGAUUAGCUAGUUGGCGGGGUAAAGGCCCACCAAGGCGACGAUCCGUAGCGGGUCUGAGAGGAUGAUCAGCCACACUGGAACUGAGACACGGUCCAGACUCCUACGGGAGGCAGCAGUGGGGAAUAUUGGACAAUGGGCGCAAGUCUGAUCCAGCCAUACCGCGUGGGUGAAGAAGGCCUUCGGGUUGUAAAGCCCUUUUGUUGGGAAAGAAAAGCAGCAGGUUAAUACCCCGCUGUUCUGACGGUACCCAAAGAAUAAGCACCGGCUAACUUCGUG